ACCCUCUAGAUUCCUUAACUUCAGAUCUCAAUUCUGGACUGAGCAGUAAUAAAAGGAGCAAAAGUAAUACUGAAACGGACUUAAACUUCUUUUGUGAGACACGAGCAAGUUUCAAACAAAC
rnacentral:snoRNA from 1 species